rnacentral:lncRNA from 1 species
UAUUAGAGAAUGACCGUAUUGCAUUGUAGUUGUAACUGGAUAGGUUCUCCAACCAAUUCUGCUUAGCUUGGGUAACCAUGACAUACUGCUAGGUGUCACUCAUGGUUUGUGGAAGCCCUAAUGACUAGCAAACACUAAUCAUAAAGGGAGAAUUGAAAUGUGGUUUCAAUUCACAAUCGAUCCUUAAAAGUAACAAUCGCCCACUACCUCGCUAAUUGGAACGUAAUGGAUCGUACACCGAGUAAGGGCGAUAGUGAAGAAAUUAAAUGAAAUGGAUAUGCAAUUAAAUGGUUUAAUUGAAGAAUGGUCAAGAUUAAUUAAUUAGUUGAUUAAUUAUACGAAAGGUUCGUAUUGGGCUUUUAAGUUGGUUUUGGGU